CAGUAAAUGGUAGAGUUCCUUUUAUACCAAUCAAGGCCUGUGCAAAAGUGAUCCGACUGCCGAUUUAUGCAUCCUUCUGCCCUGCCAGUGUUAGUUGUUACAGGCCCGAUUUCAUUGCAGGUUAGUGGUGUGCAUAAGGCGGGAGUUGUAUUGAUUUUGUGUUGCCCUCGUUUGGUUUGAAGGGAGCUCUACUGGGCGAUUGA
rfam:Picea glauca, whole genome shotgun sequence.